UAGGGAAUCUUCGGCAAUGGGGGGAACCCUGACCGAGCAACGCCGCGUGAGUGAAGAAGGUUUUCGGAUCGUAAAGCUCUGUUGUUAAGGAAGAACGAGUGUGAGAAUGGAAAGUUCAUGCUGUGACGGUACUUAACCAGAAAGGGACGGCUAACUACGUGCCAGCAGCCGCGGUAAUACGUAGGUCCCGAGCGUUGUCCGGAUUUAUUGGGCGUAAAGCGAGCGCAGGCGGUUAGAAAAGUCUGAAGUGAAAGGCAGUGGCUCAACCAUUGUAGGCUUUGGAAACUGUUUAACUGGAGUGCAGAAGGGGGGAGUGGAAUUCCAUGUGUAGCGGUGAAAUGCGUAGAUAUAUGGAGGAACACCGGUGGCGAAAGCGGCUCUCUGGUCUGUAACUGACGCUGAGGCUCGAAAGCGUGGGGAGCGAACAGG
rnacentral:rRNA from 2 species